CCUACGGGGGGCAGCAGUGGGGAAUAUUGGACAAUGGGGGCAACCCUGAUCCAGCCAUGCCGCGUGUGUGAAGAAGGCCCUCGGGUUGUAAAGCACUUUCAGUGAGGAAGAACGCCUGGUGGUUAAUACCCAUCAGGAAAGACAUCACUCACAGAAGAAGCACCGGCUAACUCCGUGCCAGCAGCCGCGGUAAUACGGAGGGUGCGAGCGUUAAUCGGAAUUACUGGGCGUAAAGCGCGCGUAGGUGGCUUGAUAAGCCGGUUGUGAAAGCCCCGGGCUCAACCUGGGAACGGCAUCCGGAACUGUCAAGCUAGAGUGCAGGAGAGGAAGGUAGAAUUCCCGGUGUAGCGGUGAAAUGCGUAGUGAUCGGGAGGAAUACCAGUGGCGAAGGCGGCCUUCUGGACUGACACUGACACUGAGGUGCGAAAGCGUGGGUAGCAAACAGGAUUAGAUACCCCAGUAGUC
rnacentral:rRNA from 1 species